AUUGAACGCUGGCGGCAUGCCUAACACAUGCAAGUCGAGCGGAUGAAGGGAGCUUGCUCCUGGAUUCAGCGGCGGACGGGUGAGUAAUGCCUAGGAAUCUGCCUGGUAGUGGGGGAUAACGUCCGGAAACGGGCGCUAAUACCGCAUACGUCCAGAUGGAGAAAGUGGGGGAUCUUCGGACCUCACGCUAUCAGAUGAGCCUAGGUCGGAUUAGCUAGUUGGUUGGGUAAAGGCCUACCAAGGCGACGAUCCGUAACUGGUCUGAGAGGAUGAUCAGUCACACUGGAACUGAGACACGGUCCAGACUCCUACGGGAGGCAGCAGUGGGGAAUAUUGGGCAAUGGGCGAAAGCCUGAUCCAGCCAGGCCGAGUGAGUGAAGAAGGUCUUCGGAUUGUAAAGCACUUUAAGUUGGGAGGAAGGGCAGUAAGUUAAUACGUUGCUGUUUUGACGUUACCAACAGAAUAAGCACCGGCUAACUACGUG
rnacentral:rRNA from 1 species